GAUGAAGAACGUAGCGAAAUGCGAUAAGUAAUGUGAAUUGCAGAAUUCAGUGAAUCAUCGAAUCUUUGAACGCACAUUGCGCCCCUUGGUAUUCCGAGGGGCAUGCCUGUUCGAGCGUCAUUAUAACCCCUCAAGCUCAGCUUGGUGUUGGGGCCUGCUGCACUGGCAGCCCUUAAAAUCAGUGGCGGCGCCAUCUGGCUCUAAGCGUAGUAAUUCUUCUCGCUAUGGAGUCCUGGUGGAUGCUUGCCAUCAACCCCCAAUUUUUCUAUGGUUGACCUCGGAUCAGGUAGGCAUACCCGCUGAACUUAAGCAUAUCAAUAAGCGGAGGA
rnacentral:misc_RNA from 1 species